UUUGGUUGUGUGUCAGUGACCUAAUCAAUGCUGGAUUGGAUUGGUUGGUAAAUCCAGUGUAUUUUAAGGCACCAGAGUGUGUCAGCUUAGUGUCACGGCACUCUAUAUUUCCAAGCCAGACGCCUUUUAAUUGAAUUCAACUGGAGCGAGACAAGAUGGAUGGUGUGGAGCUGUAGAGGGACUGAGGCGGGUGAAAGCAGCCGCGCAGCGAGCACUCUGAGCCGGCACACGGAGCGAGUGGACGCUGAUGGAUCACGAGAGCGGCCGCCGGAGGAGAGCGCGGCCGGAAAGAGCGCCUGCUCGCUGGGCGCGCAUGUAAGGAUCCGCCCGGGAGGCAGACGGAGCUCUGGAUGUGUCAGUCAAACUGAGUUGGAAACGAGGACUGUGAGCGACACCCACAGCGUUUAAGUUUCUUGCCUCCUUGGGGAGAUAAAACGGCCCAAAUGAAAUGAAGACGCACGUCAAGUAUUUUUUUCUACUCAAGCAUGGCGGUGAUAAUUGGAUUGUGUGGACACCUGUAUGAGUGCAGUAUAUCCAGGGGAUUAGAGAACGGGAUGGCUUUUGUAGGUUCUGUCCAGACCUGUGGGCUGAAUUCUCCUGAUUCGUCGUCUCGCGGAGGACCAGAUCUGCACAUUUGGGGACGUCGGUGUCAGCACACUUGAAGCAUCAACUUUGACCUCGCAGUAAAUGCAUAGUUUGGAGCCGUGCUAAAAUGGUCGUGCAUAUGGAAUUUACUAAUGCCAUUUUGUUCUGUGUGACUCAUUUCACCAAAAUAAACUUCA